GGGGCUAUAGCUCAGUUGGUAGAGCGCUUCCAUGGCAUGGAAGAGGUCAGGGGUUCGAUUCCCCUUAGCUCCA
rnacentral:tRNA from 7 species